GACGAACGCUGGCGGCGUGCUUAACACAUGCAAGUCGAGCGGUAAGGCCCUUUCGGGGGUACACGAGCGGCGAACGGGUGAGUAACACGUGGGUGACCUGCCCUCAGCUCUGGGAUAAGCCUGGGAAACCGGGUCUAAUACCGGAUAUGACUCCAUGACGCAUGUUGUGGGGUGAAAGCCUUGUGCGGCUGAGGAUGGGCCCGCGGCCUAUCAGCUUGUUGGUGGGGUGAUGGCCUACCAAGGCGACGACGGGUAGCCGGCCUGAGAGGGCGACCGGCCACACUGGGACUGAGACACGGCCCAGACUCUACGGGAGGCAGCAGUGGGGAAUCUUGCGCAAAUGGGCGAAAAGCCUGACGCAGCGACGCGCGUGAGGGAUGACGGCCUGUGUAAC
rnacentral:rRNA from 1 species